rnacentral:lncRNA from 1 species
CAUACAUCAAAAAAUUAAUUAAAGUACUUGAAGUUCCCAACGAAAAAAAAAAUCAAUGUAGUUCAAACAUUGAAAAACUAAAACAUAAACAUUAGUAUUGUGGUUAAACAUACAAAACAUUAUGGCAAAAUAAGUUCUUAAAAUAUCUAAACAUUUCCUGGUUAUUGAUGUUGCUUCAUAAUCCUUAAUUAGUGCUACCAUCUUCUUGACUCUUCUUAUUCGGUUACCUGGAAAAACAUAACUAUUAGGAUACUUAAAAAUAAGGGCCACAAAAUUAAGCUCCGUAUGGAAUCACAUCUCCCACAGCACCUGGAGCCAUUGAUUGAAGAUAGUGAUGCUGUGGUAGCAAACAACUUUCGCGUUGCCUCACGGUGG